AACUUCACAUUCACAUUCAUUGUGCUUUCCGUGUCCAACCAUGGUUUCUAAUGGCAUUCCUUUCCAGCUCUAGGGUCAGGGACUGCAUCCUCAUCUGCAACCUCUCUGGAGCCCACAAAGCCUGGAGGCUCCUCAGCCACUGGCCACAGCCUGGAAGCUUUCACACUGAACUUCACCACCACCAACCUGCUCUACACAACAGAUGUGGAAAACACUGGUUCCAGUAAAUUCAGCACCACAGAGAAAAUGCUGCAGCACCUGGAAUAGCAGCACUGGCUCCCUCUAGUCUGAAUGCAGAGUGACAUCUUUGAGGUGAGAUCCCAUAAUCUGAGGGUUGUUUUGAUGAGGGC
rnacentral:lncRNA from 1 species